rnacentral:lncRNA from 1 species
CCCUCUCCGGGAGGAGUGAGUCUCAGCUUGCAAGGCUGAGACCCAAGGUGUAGGACAGUUGCAACCGCACCACUAACCAGCUUGUGCGCACUGGCCGGCCACUGGCCACAACUCCCAGAAGCCCUUGUCCCUCUGUUUAGAAUUCGGAAUUCAACCGCCGCAGCGCGCUUGGAACCACGGGCCGCCUCCGCCUCCAUGGAGCGUCACCUGACUGCUGAACUAGGUCACUCACUACAUAGCUAAAGAGCAGAGCUCGACUGGAUUGUAAUAAUGGGUGCUGGACCAAAGGAUGGCAGGAGUAACAGCAUGAAUUUAGAGCUUGCUGCUUCUCUGCCAUCGCUAAAGCUAUCCCAUUUUCUGCUUUUGUGUCGUUCAUGCUCACAGCUCCAGGCCUUUUUUAUUAGACACUUUUCCUGUUAUCUAGUGACUAUAUGUCAUUUGUGUGUGGAUGCCUGCAGAAGCUGACUGAUCCUCUGGAGUUGGAGUUACAGGCAGUUUGUCAGCCUCCGGACCUGGGUGCUGGGAAUCGAAGGCGGUUCUCAAGAAAGAGCAGUUAGGUAUCUUGUCAUUUGGAGACUGUGGAUCCAAGAUUUACAGCCAAUCCGAGCAUGGGGUCUGUCCAAGGUGUCCAAGGCAAAAGUGAGAAGGUGGCCUAUGGUCUGUAACCUGUGGCUGCUGUUCUAGGUGUCAGGUUGUCUGCCACCUGUGUCUCACUUGGUCUGUGUCUUAUAAGAUCAGAGUAGAUAUGAUUCAAAGACAGCUGCAGAACCACAGGCCACCACAGCAUGGAUGAGAACUCACAAAAACUGGGAACCUGGGCACACUAUGUAGCCUGUGGGCAGCUCACCAGGUUGGAGAAUACUCCUGCCUUCCACAUGACUCUGUUGGUCUAAAUCUCUUCCAGGUAGCACCACUAGUUUCCGCUCCUUCCUGGUGGCUGCCUAGCCUGGUAUUAAAGUCUUCAUUUUGGCUUGUCUGAGAAUAAUUCUCUGAGGUCUUAUUGCUUAACUCCUGGGAAGCAGGGGCUUGGUGAAUCUGAACAGCUUCAUGGACUCCCUGGAGUUAUUUGAGUUGCUUUGGGCUUAAGGAGCUUCCCUGCAGGAUGGAACGUUUCAAUCUAGGAGGAAACUGCUAUACAAGAGGCAGGAGAAUGCUAAGUUUGAUACUACCUGAGCCACAAAGUAAGCACAAGAAACCAGCUUCAUCUUCAUAGCGAAACUCUAUUGAACAAGACAAAACAAAAUGGCUGAGUGUGUUGACACAUUCCUGUAAUUCCAGCCCCAAGAUGGGGAGGCAGAAAAUCUGGACUUCAAGUUCCUCCUCAGUUUGAGUCUAGUUCAAGCUGCAAAGACCCUGGUUCAAAACCAACCAACCAACCAACCAACCAACCAACCAACCAUCAAUGAAAAGGAGUGAGAACAAUUUUACCCUAAAGUACUCCUAUUAAAGUUGUGCACCAGCUAGGCAUGAGGUUGUUUGUCUGCAGUCCCAGAAACUCAGGAGGCAAAGACAGAAACCAGGAAAUUCCAGUCCAGCAUCAGCAUCAUAACAGAUUCCUCUCAAAAGCCUGGUAAGAUGGCUCUGAGGUUCCAUAGUCCAAGAUGCUUCAGUGGACUCUAUAUGCUCUGGGAGAUGCAGAUUUUGGGCAGCUGAGAGGUGGCCAGACUUCAGUUUGAAGCACACCUGAUGGGUUACUCACAACCACUUUGAAGUCCUUGUGAAUCUGAUGUGUGUGGCUUCUCAUCUGCACAUACCCAAGUAGAGGCACAAACACAUAAUUACAAAUAAAUAUUUAAUUAUUAAUUAAUCAAUUUGUUUUCUCAAGACAAGUUUGUGUGUGUGUGUGUGGUGUGUGUGUGUGUGUGU